rnacentral:snoRNA from 13 species
UUGCCCAUCUAAGAUGAACCAUGUCUUAAGUGGCCAACACAAAAGGGUAGAGCAGAUUCUCUCUAAAACCCAAAGCAAAAGAUCAUGUCUAUGCUUUGGAUCCUGUCGAGAGGAACAAUG